CUGGCGGCGUGCUUAACACAUGCAAGUCGAACGGGAGGGAAAGAGAAGCUUGCUUCUUUUUGAAUCUAGUGGCAAACGGGUGAGUAACACGUAAACAACCUGCCUUCAGGAUGGGGACAACAGACGGAAACGACUGCUAAUACCGAAUGUGUUCCGGAGACCGCAUGAUUUCCGGAAGAAAGGAUGGCCUCUAUUUAUAAGCUAUCGCCUGAAGAGGGGUUUGCGUCUGAUUAGGCAGUUGGUGAGGUAACGGCCCACCAAACCUACGAUCAGUAGCCGGUCUGAGAGGAUGAACGGCCACACUGGAACUGAGACACGGUCCAGACUCCUACGGGAGGCAGCAGUGGGGAAUCUUCCGCAAUGGACGAAAGUCUGACGGAGCAACGCCGCGUGAGUGAUGACGGCCUUCGGGUUGUAAAGCUCUGUGAUCGGGGACGAAUGGCUGGUAUGCUAAUACCAUAUCAGAGUGACGGUACCCGAAUAGCAAGCCACGGCUAACUACGUG
rnacentral:rRNA from 1 species